rnacentral:rRNA from 1 species
CGGACGGGAUGAGUAAUGCCUANCGAAUCUGCCUGGUAGUGGGGGAUAACGUUCGGAAACGGACGCUAAUACCGCAUACGUCCUACGGGAGAAAGCAGGGGACCUUCGGGCCUUGCGCUAUCAGAUGAGCCUAGGUCGGAUUANCUAGUUGGUGGGGUAAUGGCUCACCAAGGCGACGAUCCGUAACUGGUCUGAGAGGAUGAUCAAUCACACUGGAACUGAGACACGGUCCANACUCCUACGGGAGGCAGCAGUGGGGAAUAUUGGACAAUGNNCGAAAGCCUGAUCCAGCCAUGCCGCGUGUGUGAAGAAGGUCUUCGGAUUGUAAAGCACUUUAAGUUGGGAGGAAGGGUUGUAGAUUAAUACUCUGCAAUUUUGACGUUACCGACAGAAUAAGCACCGGCUAACUCUGUGCCAGCAGCCGCGGUAAUACAGAGGGUGCAAGCGUUAAUCGGAAUUACUGGGCGUAAAGCGCGCGUAGGUGGUUAGUUAAGUUGGAUGUGAAAUCCCCGGGCUCAACCUGGGAACUGCAUUCAAAACUGACUGACUAGAGUAUGGUAGAGGGUGGUGGAAUUUCCUGUGUAGCGGUGAAAUGCGUANAUAUAGGAAGGAACACCAGUGGCGAAGGCGACCACCUGGACUGAUACUGACACUGAGGUGCGAAAGCGUGGGGAGCAAACAGGAUUANAUAC